rnacentral:rRNA from 1 species
AUUGAACGCUGGCGGCAGGCCUAACACAUGCAAGUCGAGCGGAUGAAGUGAGCUUGCUCCUGGAUUCAGCGGCGGACGGGUGAGUAAUGCCUAGGAAUCUGCCUGGUAGUGGGGGAUAACGUCCGGAAACGGGCGCUAAUACCGCAUACGUCCUGAGGGAGAAAGUGGGGGAUCUUCGGACCUCACGCUAUCAGAUGAGCCUAGGUCGGAUUAGCUAGUUGGUGGGGUAAAGGCCUACCAAGGCGACGAUCCGUAACUGGUCUGAGAGGAUGAUCAGUCACACUGGAACUGAGACACGGUCCAGACUCCUACGGGAGGCAGCAGCGGGGAAUAUUGGACAAUGGGCGAAAGCCUGAUCCAGCCAUGCCGCGUGUGUGAAGAAGGUCUUCGGAUUGUAAAGCACUUUAAGUUGGGAGGAAGGGCAGUAAGUUAAUACCUUGCUGUUUUGACGUUACCAACAGAAUAAGCACCGGCUAACUUCGUG